rnacentral:lncRNA from 1 species
CCACAUCUCUGGUGUUGUUCUUAUCCCUCGCCAUGUCACCGUACAAGGAGCAGCAGUUCCGUCGUAUCAUCCCAACCAAAUACUUCUUUGCCCGCUCGUCGUUUGCGAUGGCGAUGCUGUCUUUUCUGGUGGCGUUCACCUGCAACAUCUACCUACAGAUAUAUGGCUGGCAGAAGGCGAAGUCGAAGGACUUGAUUCCAUUCGUAUUGGAGCUCACCGUCUUCCCCGUCAUCUGUUCCCUGGUGUUGUUCUUUCGUGGCUCCGAUUUCGGUCUAUCUUUCCUUGUUCGUCUUUGGGGUUGAGUCAACAAGCAUGAUCGUCCACAUCUUUGGAAUCUGCAGCUUCAUGAUGCACGUGGGUUCUACCUAUUGCGGGUAUGCCACCUGUUCUAGUGGUGUGUGGUGGUGGUAGUCAUUGGACAGUUAAUAACUUGUGUGUACAAGCAGCGACAAAGGCUUGUGAUGUAUGGACGCUAGUUGAUUGCAACUUUAAUGUGUUCUUUUCUUCUAUCUUAAAUUAGAUGAUGAUAUAGGCGCAGCGGUAGACAACAGAUCCGAUCACCAAUAAUGGUGAUGUCCCUCUCUAUUGUUUUUGACGAAGUCAAUAUGACAUAACUGUUGACCGGAUCUUACCCUGUAUUGUCAUGUAAAUGUCACAUGUCGAGUGACAGAUUUCCCCUAUCGUAUGGACGUCCUUUGGUUUUCCCAGAGGUCGGCUAGAACAUAGGCUCGAGUCUUUUUGAAUAUUCUGUGACAAAUCACAUAGUCCAUAUCGUAAAGUUUUGGCCCACCAAAGUUUGCACAGGCAAACGAAAUGAUUGGCUUAUAGAAGCCAAUCAUUCAAUAAGUGAAGGACAUCAAUUUUGGAUUAAAAAAAUAUCAACAAAAUACAAAUCACCUUUAUAGAAAGGAAAGAAAACUCUCCGUGGAGAGCUUUAUUGCACUCCUUCCCAUCCAUCAUCUAUGGAGUCAAAUAAGAAAGAUUCAAGAGAAGAUAGGAAUGGUCCGAGUGAAGAAGACAAACUAACGAGCAGCAAUGCUCGUCUAUUCCAAAGACCUGCCACGAGAAUAAUACAGCGAGAAAAAAAGAAAGAAAAGGAAGAAGCUUAUUUAUGAGGUGCGAAAGGUGAUGGACAUCCGAUUCACGCCGUUGCAGCUGAUGGUUACCAUCCUCUUCCGAAGCCAACUUGUGCUCGGCUCCUUUGAUUCCUUGCUCGCCCUUUCCCAAUUACUUUUUACAUAAAAUUAAUAUAUUUUAUGUAAAAAUAUAUUAAAUUUUAUAAAAUAUAUUCUAAAUUAUUCAAAAUAUAUUAUUACACUCUCAUUCAAAGAACGUGUUAAAAAAAAUAUUUUUUUUUAUAAAAUUAUCCUAAAUUCAUCAUAAAACUAAUCAUAAAAUUCUACAUCUCUUAUUUUCUAUUUCUUAUAUUGACUUAGUUAUGUUCAAAAUUAAAAUAAAUUAAAUUCGAUUACCUAACCUAUUUUAAUAUUAAUAUUUUUUUUACUUUUAGAUAUAUCUAGAAUAAUUAAUUAUCAAAACUUUGAGAAUUCUACUAUAAUUUGAUUCUAACAAAAUUAUAAUAAAUUUAUAUAAAAAUUAAUAUAUCUUAGUAAAUUCGAGUGUAACUUGGAUGUAAGAGAUUUGGCUUAACUUGAUUCUACUGGAUUCGAAGGGAUCCGACCCAAAUCGAUCUAAUUCAGAUCGAAUCAACCUGCUAAUCAGUCAGGUUUAAAAUAGUCUAUUUCAAAAGUAUUAUCAAAAUUUUUAAAGAAAAUCACCUUUUGUAUGAGCUUUUAUCUUUAUACAUACAAAGUAUCCUAUUAAACAUGAGGUAUUACAAAAAAAAAAAAAAAAUCCCUCUCCAAAGACCUCCUGUCAUGUCAACUCUAGUAAAAUCCCUAUUAACUAGAGAAAGAAGUUCUUCGUUUAUACUAUAGUCGAGACUGCAACCGAUUCAUUGUUAUUUACUCAUUUUCUUUUGGUUCGUUUUCAUGUCAGUGUCAAGCUAUAUGAUAGGUAAACAAGUGUUUGGUACCCUGUCUCCGUUCCACCAUGCGCUGACGUUAUCAGAUUCCCUUUCGCUGAUCUAUAUAUCUUAUUGUCAGAAGACGUGAGACUGAAAGUGAUAUGUUGGAGGAAAGUAUUGAUUAUAUUUCUAUUUAUUAUUGGUUGACCGAUGGAGAUGGUUACUUUACUUGGGAUGUCAUGUUGAGGUAAUUAAAUCAUGCCAACGCAGAUUCGAAUAAUAAAAUUCCUUUAGCUUGUCAUUAAGCAAAAGACACCCACUCGAAGAUAACGUGAUUUGGAGCUACAAAUGAUAACACUGAGAGCAAAAGAUUCAAUAAAGAGAUGUUGCCAUAAUCCCGGGUGCAUAAAAAGAAUCGGAGACCAACCAAAGGGUCAUCAACUCCAAAGACUUGCGAUGAGUAUGAUCUACAAAACCUUUUCUAUAAGGUGCAAGUUGAAUGAUCGGUGGAGACCCACAAGUAGAGGUUUGGGUGCAAGCUUCCGGAUUAUUGUUUCCUGUAGAGCAAGAAUCGUUGACCCACAAGUUAAAGCUACUGUCUAGCUUUAACGUAUGUGAAUUAUUCAUUAGUAGGUUGGCCUCUGUAACAUACGAUUAAUUUGUUGUCGAAUCUUUUGUGACUGAGAUGAAAACGGAGACCAACCAAUGGGUUCUCAACUCCGAAGACUUGCGAUGAGUAUGACCUACAAAAACCAAGGGGGAAGGAGGUGUACGACGAUGGAUGAGAGCCAAAAGGAUCAGCUAGUCUGCUUGUUAAGGCAGGCAUUCAGGUUGCUUUAGUUUCGCAGUAGAAAUCUGGAGGCGAAGGCGUACGCACCAUAUAGCAACUGCAUGCUAUGGGGGAUCCCGCCGCUCUUGCCAAUACGGAUUCCAUUCACGACGGCACAGAGGAUGCUGAUCCACUGCAUGUUCUCAACAGGAGACAUUUUCUCACGGUGAAGUCUCAUUUCCGUCGGAAGAGGCACGAGGCACUCUUGGUUCUAGCCGUGGAAGAUCCUGGUCGCCCGGUGAACCUCAUGAACGACACUUUGCUCCACGUCGUCAUAGCUUGCAACAAGACCGACCUCGCCAGAAGUAUUAUCUUGCAGAUGCCAGUGGAGACCCUCGCGGCCAAGAAUUUGUACGGCGACACGGCUCUUCAUGUCGCUGCCGCCAUGGGUAACAGCGAGGUGGCCAGGGAGCUGUUCGGCAGGAACGAAGAUCUCAUCGAAGAACAGAACUUGAAGCAGGAGACACCACUGCACAAAGCGGCGUUCUACGGGCAUCAUGACAUGUUCUGGUGCCUGGUUAACGAGGGGAAUGGCUCCCCGUACGAGCGGAGGGAGGACGGCGCCACCAUGCUGCACUGUGCCAUCAUGGGCAACGAGCCGGGUAAGCGGUCAUCACCAGUUUCGUUGGCCAGCUGCCUUUAUCUUGUUUUUAUCCUAUUUAUUUGAAUUUUUAUAUGUGGAUCAUACUGCUUCCGCAUCUUUGGCGUGAUCAAGGUGAGUGAGUCGAUGCAGGGCUGGCACUGGAGAUUGCAGAGCGUUUUCCAUUGCUGAUCACGUCGAGGAAUACUAUGGCGGUAACCCCAUUGCAGCUGAUGGUGACCGUUCCGGGGUUAUUCCGAAGCCAAAUGGUAAUUGGCGGCUUCGAGUCCAUCCUCCAUGACUGUAAGUGCUGCCCCGCCUCUUCCUUCAACGCCCCCAGCGCCCCGCCCUCCCCCCUGCUUCUCUAUUUAUUGCACUACAUUUCCUACCAACGACUACCUUAAUUUAGCGAUCGUUCGACGUCCAAAUCUAUUGAGAAUUUACCAAGGGGUGUUUUUUUCUCAUUAUCGGAACACAUAUACCCUUGCUUAUUUGGAUUUAUUAUAUGGUUUUGUGUUAAACGCAUCAAAUCUAAUCGGUUGAGUCUGGUUUGCUCUCUGUUCUUUGUUCUUUCACGUCUCCUCCUCCUACCCUCAAUUCACCCUUUGUUUGUCACCCUUUCACCCUUAUUCUUUCUUCUUCAAGGAGGAGGAGCAGAGGAGGAGGAGGAGAGGAAGCGACACAAGGUUGACUGGUUCAUUGAACCGGUUCACUGAUCCAAACUGUUUCAGUGAAUCAUUUCAAAAAGUUCGAAAUGUAAUUAAAUUGGAAUAGGAGGAUAAAGUUAGAAUUUACCAAAAAAACAUUCCUAAAUAAUUUCUGAAUAUAUAUAUAUAUAUAUAUAUAUAUAUAUAUAAUAAUACNNNNNNNNNNNNNNNNNNNNUAUAUAUAUAUAUAUAUAUAUAUAUAUAUAUAUAAAAUCUGAUGUAACGGGAUAAUUGACUUAUUAACUUCACUAAACUUGGAUCAUUGAUCUGAAUAAUUAAGUUUAAAUUAAUAAUAAUACACUUAUCAAAUCUCUAUAAAUUAAUCUUAGUAUUUGUCUAGUUUUAAUUUUCGAUGUGAAGUAAAAUUAUAAUUGUUCUCAGAAAAAUAUAGUUAUGAUGACAAUUAAACAUCAAGUAUUUUGAUACCAACGUACAUGCUCCUAAAAGUUUGAUUUUAUAUUUCAGUAAUUCCUUUGGAGAAGGACUCACACAGGACACGUCAAAGAGAUGAAGAGGAGGCAUCUGAAAGCUCCAACGAUGCCGGUGUAUGUGCUUCAAAUCAUCAACAUCUUUUCCAUCACAAUAUCAAUAGUCCACUAUUGUCUCUCUGAUUUGUUUCUCACUUUGGCGUCUACAUAUAUAUAAUCUCAAGCAAGCUGAAGCCACAGAGCAAGAUGACCACGAAUAUUUCGGGAGGCAGAGAACAAUUCGUUCGAGAUUUCCAUCUUGCUGCUGUACUCUCGUUGACAAAUUAGUCAUCCCAGGCACUCCUACUAGCUUCUCUGUCUACAAUUUUUGUAGUCAUCCAUGUUCUGUUUCAUUACGCUGAUGUAUUCCUUUUUGUGCUUGCAGUCAAAUGGGUUCGUCUGUUUCUUUUCAUCAUUAUAAGGACUUGUGAGUAACUGUUCCCAAACAGUACAUUGAUGAUAUUAAGAGCCAUGUCCUACUGUUUCAUUACGAGUUCUAGCAAAUUAGGAAAGUACUAUAGAAAAGGCUUCUUGUAAUUUAGUUCUCCAAAACCAAGUAGUUUACAUGAUGGAUAAUUAUAGCUUAUUUGCGGAAAAACAUAAAUGGGACGAUUAUGUCGCUGACUUCUUCUGAUGUUAAUUUGGAGAUGCAAUGCGUUAUGCAGUGUACCCUCGAACCCGACAUCUGGAGAAGAUUAAGAGAACCCAUAGAAAAGCCUUGGAACUCAUCGAAUUUUUAGCCCGCGACCCGAGAAACAUGGAGUUCUACGUGCUGGGAAGAAAACAAGGUGACGGCGGUGCUCCUGCGGCAGACCUUCGAGAAAGAGGUGAGGGACAAGAUCAACUUACCGCACCGGCUGAGUCAUACAGAAGAUGGAACGAGCCACCCUUGAUCUUGGGUGCACAAAUGGGCAUUCCCGAGUUCGUCAGGACGAUCUUACAAGUGUGUCCGGAGGCAGCUACGUAUCUGGACACCCAAGGUCGAAGCGUUCUCCAAGUAGCAAUACGGCAUGGUAACCGAGAUAUUGUGAGAACUAUACGUGAGAUGACUCGAGGGAAGAAUCCCAUACUACCAUUCUGGCUACUGUCUCGCGUCGACAAAGGGACCGGAAGAACCAUCCUGCACUUGGCUUCGGCAACUGCCCCCGAGCAUAACCAAGAUGCUCUACAAAUGCAAGAUGAAUUAAGAUGGUUUGAGGUCAAGUCCCUAACUACAUUAACUACAAAUAAAAUCUUUACAUUCUCGGAGUUGCCUACUAAAUUUGAUCGUUUUCUGACAUUUUUAUGCAGACGGUGAGAGAUAUGGUUCCUAAGGAAUUAGUGUACAGUAGAAACGCGGAAGAGACGACCGCAGAAGAGAUGUUUACUGAGAGUCACAAAGAUUUGCUCAAGAGUUGCAAGGUUCAACUAAUGGAAACGGGCAGACUGUGUUCCGGGCUGGUCGCAGCUGUAGUGUUCGCGUCAAGCUUCUCAGUCCCCGGCGAUAAGGACCCAACCACCGGCAACCCGGUUUACUUCGGUAGGGCAGCUUUUACGGUCUUCUCACACACGUACGUGUUUGGGCUUUCAUGCGCCGCGACAUCUCUGGUGUUGUUCUUAUCCCUCGCCAUGUCACCUUACAAGGAACAGCAGUUCCGUCGUAUCAUCCCAAUCAAAUACUUCUUUGCCCGCUCGUCGUUUGGGUUGGCGAUGCUGUCUUUUCUGGUGGCGUUCACCUGCAACAUCUACCUACAGAUAUAUGGCUGGCAGAAGACGAAGUCGAAGGACUUGAUUCCAUUCAUAUUGGAGCUCACCGCCUUCCCUUUCAUCUGUUUCCUGGUGUUAUUCUUUUAUGGCUCCAAGUUCGGUCUAUCUUUUCUUUUUCAUUCUUGGCGUUGAGUCAACAAGCAUGAUCGUCCACACGAAUCUGGCAGGUUCAUGAUGUACGUGGGUUGUACCUAUUACGGUAUGUCGCCUGUUCCAGUGGUAUGCGGUGGUAGAAGUCAUUGGACAGUUAAAUAUCUUGUGUGUACAAGCAGCAACAAAGGCAUGUUAUAUGUGGCCGCUAUUUGAUUGUAACUUUAAUGUGGUCUUUUCUUCUAUCUUAAAUUAGAUAAUGAUAUAGGCGCCACGGUAGACAACAAAUCUGAUCACCAAUAAUGGUGAUGGCCCAUCAAUACUGAAUAAUGGUGAUGGCCCUGCCUAUUGUUUUUGGACUAAUGUCCAUAUGACAUAGCUGUUGAUGGGAUCUUAUCCUCUCACCGUUGACUGUAUUGUCAUGUAAGAUAUGCAUGGACGUCCUUUCGUUUUCCCAGAGAUCGGCUAGAAGAUAGGAUCGAGUCUUAUUGAAUCUUCUGUGACAAUCAAGUAGUCUUUAUCGUACAAUUUUGGCCCACCAAAGUUUGCACAGGCAAACGAAAUGAUUGGCUUAUAGAAGCCGAUCGUUCAAGAAGUGAAGGACGUCAAUUUUGGAUUGAAAAAAGAUCAUUUAGCUUUUCAAAAAAGAAAAAGAAUAACCUUUAUAAAAUGGAUAGAAAACUCUCCGUGGAGGCCUUUACACCGCUCCUUAGCAGCAUCCAUGGACUGGAGUCAAUAAGAAACAUUUAAGAAAAGAUAGAAACAGACGUAUCGUUGUCCAAAGAGUGAAGAAGACAAACUAACCACAAGCAAUGCUCGUCUAUUUUAAUGACCUGUCACAAGUCUAAUACAGCCACAAAACAUUAAAAAAAAGGAAGAAGCUUGUUUAUGAGGUGCCAAAGGUUAUGGACAUCUAUCUGAUUCACGCACGGAAUGGUCACCAUCCCCGAGCACCUCUUUCGAAGCCAAUUGUUUGGUCGGCACCUUUGAUUCCUUUCUCUGUAUCUGUCCAAGUGCUGCUCGCCCUUUCUCAAGUACUUUCUAAUCCUCUAUCCAUCUCUCCAUUUUUAUUUUUCUACUUUUACUGUUAUAAUAAGUUUUUUAAAUUAUUUUUAUUACAUUAAAUUACAUAUAAGACAUCCUUAUAUAAACAUAUCAUUAUAUUGCCACGACUAUAUAGACGCUUAUUCUAUAUACAAACUAGAAAUAGACAAAAGGAUACCAAUAAAAUAAAGAGACACCGCAAUAAGAAUCGGAUUUGGUAAAGUAUUUUCCUCAAACGAGCUUGGAGGAUCGGAUAAGAGUUUUGUAAAGAGACCACUGCUCCUGAAAUGAAAACCAAUCGUCGUGCUUUCAAUUAAUAAAACCAAUCAUGCAUACCGUUUUCUAAAGUGUUCAAUGAGGAGACAACAUAAGUAAUUGUCAGUUCACGCAUAUUACUUACCGUACGCAGAAGGAGGCGUAGGUACGUCGGUCGAUGGUCACUUGAUCUCCUUCCUGGCCAUCAUAUAAAGGGAGGCCUUCAGGUGCUCAUCUAAGACCACCAAGGGUACGUGAAGGUUGAAGACGUAGCCAUGGAUCCUUCGGGAAGCCAUUCGGCCCUCGCAACAGAUAACAGUGAUGACGAGAAUAGACGACCUAGCGUCUUCGACGUGGAUCACUUUUGCACCGUGACGUCUCUGAUUCAGCAGGAGAAGUACGAGGAUCUAUUACCCCUAGCCAUGAAGAAGGAUCCUCCACUCAACCUCAUGGAGGACCCUGUGCUCAACGUCGUCAUCGAAUACAAGAAGACCGACCUCGCCAAACGGCAGAUUCAAAACAUGCCCGCGGAGAAGAAGCCCGCGGAGAAGCCCGGACCGCUGUGGUACGCUAAUUACCACGGCGACACGGCUCUCCAUGUCGCGGCCACCGUGGGUGACCUCGACGUGGCCAAGGCGUUGGUCUGGAAGAACUCAGAACUCAGAACUCGUCAGUGCACGCAACUGGAAGAACGAGACACCGCUGCACAAAGCGGCGCUGUACGGGCACGAGACGAUGUUCUGGGACCUGGUGGAAAUGGGGUCGCACGCCCCGGACGAGCGGAGGGAGGACGGCGCCACCGUGCUGCACUGUGCCAUCAUGGGCAGCGCGCCGGGUGAGUUGUAAUCAAUUCCAGGAAGCCAUAGUCAUAUAUAGCUCCUUUCUUGUUUUCCAAAAAUAUGUUUACAUAGUUGAAUUGUAAUGUAGCUUUAGCACUGAAGAUUGCCAAGACAUAUCCACCGCUGAUCACGUCGCGGAAUGAUGAUGCGGUGACUCCGAUGCAGCUGACGGUGACAAUUCCAGGGUUAUUCCGAAGCCUAACGAAUCUUGGGCCCUUAGAGGCCGUAAUUUAUAAGCGUGAGUCGUAAUGUAAUUUCUAGGAUUUACAUCACCAUAAAACAUUCACAGCAUGUAGUUAUGGUAACUAAGGCUUUGUUACAUCAAAUAAAAGCACACCAAUAUGCAUGCUAGCUCUUGAAACUUCAUGGCUGUAUACUUUGAUUGCAAUGUUGCAGUGAUUCCAUACGAAGACUCCAGCGAGCCACGUGCAGUAGAUGAAGAGACAACCAGGGUCUCGAGCGCUGUUGAAGUAUGUGCUUCCGGAUGAAUCAUUUUGUUUUGCAUGAUGGCAUUGAUAUAGUUCAUGAGGUCGAUAGCAUCUUUUCUACUACUUGUCAAUAAUAUUUAUCACAAAAUUUAAGAGCAGUUUUUUCCUCAAACUAGACAAUAUAAAGUUUGAUCUACCAUGUGUUAGAAAUUUUUGUAAUAUCAGUCGAAGUCAUUCUGGUUAGGGUUAACGAAUUACCCUUUUAGGAUAUUUCUAUUCAUCUCACACAUAUGAAUAUGGGUUUUGAAAGUCUUUCACAUAUUCACAAAGGUUUAAACUUAAUACAUGUAACUCAAUUUUUAAGUCUUUCUCUUCUUUGAAGGGUUCAAACUUUGAGUUCAUAUAUUUUUUAACUUUACGAUACGGUUCACAUAUCUACAUCUAUCCAAUGGUACGACUCAUCUACAUUCAGUGGCUGGAAUAUUAUGUAAUUUUUUUUUAGAAACGAUAAGUUUGAGCCAUAUUCUAGUUAGGGUUAAUGUAUAUUAGGUCAUACGUCAUACAUCAAUUGAAUCUAGAAACUUUGAUUAUUAUAUUAUCAAUCAAAUUUAGUAUAUGUAACUAGACUCUUUCAAUUAUUAGUAACAUGAGACUAUCCUCUUAGAAUAUUUCUUUUCAUCUCAUAUAUGAUUUGUCCCUGCACGAGUAUUAUUUCCUUGUAUUGUCUCUGACGUUGGCGUCUACAUGUACUUAAUAAGGGAGGUGCAAAAUAUAUCAAGCGAAAGGUUGUGUCUCUUCUGCCCCCCAAAACGUUUCGUUCGAAAUUCCCAUCUCACUACAGCAGUCUCUUUGACCUGCGGGAAUUGAUGUUCAUCCCAGGUACUCACUCCUACGAGCUUCUCUAUUUACAUUUCUUACCUGGAUCUUAUUGUUGGAUCACAGUACUACACUGAUUCGUGCUUCUGUUGAUGCAGCCAGAUGGGUUCAUUUGUUGCUUUUCCGCAUUCUAAAGCAAUGUAAGUCAUUGUUCGUGGAUGGAUGCAUGAUGUUUAGACAUGUUGUCCUUUUCCAAUUAAUGUUAGUGGAAUUGCAAUGCAUCAUGCAGUGUUCCCUAUGAUCGAACGUCUGGAGAAGCAAAAGAAAACCCACAAGGAAACCUUGGAACUGAUCGAGUUCUUAGCCUAUUAUCCUAGGCACAUGGAGUUCUAUUCCAAGGGAAGACGAAAAGGCAAGGAGGAAAGUCUUCUUGUUGGAGACAUCACCAGUUCUACAACAAGACAGUCUCCUCCGUCAACAGACGCUGGUGAAGGCCAAGGAGUAAAUGGAGGAGGGAACCGAGAUCAAGACUUUGAUAGGUUUGCGGAAAAGCUAUUUAUGUAUAUGUCGCACAAGGAUGCCAAUCACGAAGCAGUAGCAAAAGAGCUCAAGAAGAGCAUGAAGGAGUCGAUGGAGGAAGUGUCCGGUGAAUCCACAAUUAGAAGAUGGGACGAGCCGCCCCUGAUCUUGGGUGCACAAAUGGGUCUUCCUGAGUUCGUCAGGACGAUCUUGCUAGUAUGUUCGCAGGCAGCAGCAUACCUGGACACCAAGGGGAGAAGCGUUCUCCAAGUCGCAGUCAUGUAUCGUCGCGAGGAGAUUGUCAAGAUCAUAAUGGACAUGAGAAACAUUUUACCAUCCUGGUUAUUUUCCGAAAUCGAACCCAAAACCGGGAACACCAUCGUGCAUCUUGCUUCACGUGGAAGCCCUGAUGUAGCAAAGGAAGCGCAAGACGAACCGGAUGCAAUGCAACUGCAUUACGAUUUAGUAUGGUUUGAGGUAAAGUUGCUAAACUUUUUUGCCCCCCUCCUCAAAUUUUGACAUGCUUCUCAAAAGUAUUAUCCGUUCAAUUCUUUGACAUGCAUUCUUCGGUGUCGGUUGUGGGUUAUUCGCGCAUAAUACAAAAUAACCAACAAAUACACAAAUAAAAUCUACGUAUUCUCAGAGUUGCGUACUAAAUUUGAUCGUUUUCUGACAUUUGAAUGCAGACGGUGAGAGAUAUGGUUCCUAAGGAAUUAGUGUACAGUCGGAACGCGCAAACGAAGACCGCAGAAGAGAUGUUUACUGAGAGUCACCGAGCGAUGCUAAAGAGUUACAAGGGUCAACUAAUGGAAACGGGCAGGACGUGUUCAGGGCUUGUCGCUGCUGUAGUGUUCGCGUCGAGCUUCUCCAUCCCCGGCGAUAAGGACCCAGCGACCGGCAACCCGGUUUACUUCGGUAGGCCAGCUUUUAAGGUCUUCUCACAUGCGUACGUGAUUGGGUUGUCAUGCGCCGCCACAUCUCUGGUGUUGUUCUUAUCCCUCGCUAUGUCACCUUACAACGAGCAGCAGUUCCAUCGUAUCAUCCCAACCAAAUACUUCUUUGCCCGCUCGUCGUUUGCGAUGGCGAUGCUGUCUUUUCUGGUGGCGUUCACCUGCAACAUCUACCUACAGAUGUAUGGCUGGCAGAAGGCGAAGUCGAAGGACUUGAUUCCAUUCGUAUUGGAGCUCACCGUCUUCCCCGUCAUCUGUUUCCUGGUGUUGUUCUUUCGUGGCUCCGAUUUCGUCUUUGGGGUUGAGUCAACAAGCAUGAUCGUCCACAUCGUUGGAAUCUGCAGCUUCAUGAUGCACGUGGGUUGUACCUAUUACGGUAUGCCACCUGUUCUAGUGGUGUGUGGUGGUGGUAGUCAUUGGACAGUUAAUAACUUGUGUGUACGGGCAGCGACAAAGGCAUGUGGUGUAUAGACAACAGAGCUGGUCACCAAUAAUGGUGAUGGGCCUCUCUAUUGUUUUUGACGAAGUCAAUAUGACACAACUGUUGACCGGAUCUCACCCUGUAUUGUAAUGUAUACUGUCACAUGUCGAGCGACAGAUUUCCCCUAUCGCAUGCAAAUUGCAGUGAGAUGUAUGGACGUCCUUUUGGUUUCCCAGAGGUCGGCUAGAAGAUAGGCUCGAGUUUUAUUGAAUCUUCUGUGACAAAUCACAUAGUCUAUAUCGUAAAGUUCUGGCCCGCCAAAGUUUGCACAGGCAAACGAAAUGAUUGGCUUAUAGAAGCCAAUCAUUCAAGAAGCGAAGGACAUCAAUUUUGGAUUAAAAAAAUAUCAACAAAAAAAAAAUUCACCUUUGUAGAAAGGAAAGAAAACCCUCCUUCGCAUCAUCUAUGGAGUCGAAUAAGAAAGAUUUAAGAAAAGAUAGAAAUGAUCCGAGUGAAGAAGACAAAUUAACGAGCAGCAAUGCUCGUCUAUUCCAAAGACCUGCCACGAGAAUAAUACAGCGAGAAAAAAUGAAAAGAAAAGAAAAGAAAGAAGCUUAUUUAUGAGGUGCGAAAGGUUAUGGACAUCCGAUUCACACUGUUGUAGCCGAUGGUUACUAUCCUCCUCCGAAGCCAACUUGUGCUCGGCUACUUUGAUUCCUUUCUCUAUGACUGUCUCAAGUGCCGCUCGUCCUUUUCCAAUUACUUUUUAUAUAAAAUUAAUAUAUUUUAUAUAACAAAAGAGUAAUUUAUAUAUAUAAAAAAAUUAUUCUAAAUUAUUCAAAAUAUAUUAUUACACUAUCAUUCAAAGAAUGUGUUGCAUAUUAAUUUUUUUUAUAUAUAAAGAAUCCUAUUAAACAUGAGGUAUUACAAAAAAAAAAUAGCUCUCUCCAACAACCUCCUGUCAUGUCAACUUCUAGUAAAAUCCCUUUUAGCUUGAGAAAAGAAGUUCUUCGUUAAUACUAUAAUUGAGACUGCCACCGCAAGUAAAACCAGUGUUUGGUACCCUGUCUCCGUUCCACCAUGCGCUGACGUUAUCAGAUUCCCUUUCGCUGAUCUAUACAUCUUAUUGUCAUAAGACGUGAGACUGAAAGUGAUAUGUUGGAGGAAACUAUUAAUUAUAUUUCUAUUUAUUAUUGGUUGACCGAUGGAGAUGAUUACUUUACUUGAGAUGUCAUGUUGAGGUAAUUAAAUCAUGCCAACGCAGAUUCGAAUAAUAAAAUUCUAUUAGCUUGUCAUUAAGCAAAAGACACCCACUCGAAGAUAACUUGAUUUGGAGCUACAAAUGAUAACACUGAGAGCAAAAGAUUCAAUAAAGAGAUGUUGCCAUAAUCCCGGGUGCAUAAAAAGAAUCGGAGACCAACCAAAGGGUCGUCAACUCCAAAGACUUGCGAUGAGUAUGAUCUACAAAAACUUUUCUAUAAGGUGCAAGUUGAAUGAUCGGUGGAGACCCACAAGUAGAGCUUUGGGUGCAGGCUUCCGGAUUAUUGUUUCCUGUAGAGCAAGAAUCGUUGACCCACAAGUUAAAGCUGCUGUCUAGCUUUAACGUAUGUGAAUUAUUCAUUAGUAGGUUGGCCUCUGUAACAUACGAUUAAUUUGUUGUCGAAUCUUUUGUGAAUGAGAUGGAGGGUGCUUAAUUUGUUAGUGAAAGAAAAGUCAAUAAUGAGAAAAAGGGCAGAGAAGAAAACGCAAGAUGAAAGCUCAUCUGGAGAGUUCUUCAUGGCAGUGCCACUUUAAGAGGGGAGAUAGGUUGGAAGGGGUCCAAAGGGGAUCUGUACUAAACUUGGAACGGUUUAGCUGGUUUGAGCAAAGAAUCCGACGCCAUUUUCCGACACUAAGCGACGCCAAUCGACUGAAAAGGAGGGAGGCGUACGACGAUGGAUGAGAGCCAAAAGGAUAAGCUAAUCUGCUUGUUAAGGCAGGCCUUCAGGUUUCUUUAGUUUCGCAGUAGAAAUCAGGAGGCGAAGGCGUACGAACGAGUUGUACGCACCAUAUAGCAACUGCACCAUAUAUAUUUUUGGUCGGUGAGAACGUAGCGAAAGGAGCGGCUCCCUUCGGUGUGUUUUGGAUAUGACGGCUCCUUCCACCACCCAAAAGCUGACGCCUGCUGCAGAUGUAGGCACCGGAUCAGGGAGAAAAGUAGAGAAACAGCCGUCUGUACCCGGGAAAUCGCAGCCUGCACACGGCGCAGGUGGUGGUGGAUCAGAGGAGCCACCGCAUGCCCUGGACGUGGCACGCUUCCGCCGGCUGAACUCGCUCAUCCACCGUGAGAACGUGGACGCGAACAAACUCCUGCGUCUAGUGGAGCAGGAUAACCACGUGAACCUCAUGAACGACCCCUUGCUCAGCGUCGUCAUCGCCUGCAAGAAGCCCAAGCUCGCCUGCAGCCUCAUCGACAAAAUAUCAUCAAAUGACAUUCUCAAGGCCAGCAACUUAAACGGCGACACGGCGCUUCACGUAGCUGCCGCCAUGGACGACAAAGAAGUGGCCUCGAAGCUGAUCGACAGGGUGCCAGAUCUCGUUCAUAUGCAGAACGUGAAACAGGAGAUACCGCUACAUAAGGCGGCGCUGUACGGGCUGCUGGACAUGUUCUGGCUGCUGGUGGAAAAUAACAGCUCACCGAAAGCCCGGAGGGAGGACGGCGCCACCAUGCUGCACUGUGCCAUCAUGGGCAACGCGCCGGGUAAGCGAUCAUCACCAGUUUUGUUGGUCUGGCGCUGGCCAGCUGUCUUUCUCUUGUUUUUAUCCUAUUUUUUUGAAGUGUUGUAUGUGGAUCAUACUGCUUCCGCAUCUUUGGUGUGAUCAAGGUGAGUGAGUCGACGCAGGGCUUGCACUGGAGAUUGCAAAGCGUUUUCCAUUGCUGAUCACAUCGCGGAAUACUAUGGCGGUAACCCCGUUGCAGCUGAUGGUGACCGUUCCGGGGUUAUUCCGAAGCCAAAUGGUAAUUGGCGGCUUCGAGUCCAUCCUCCAUGACUGUAAGUGCUGCCCCGCCUCUUCCUUCAACGCCCCCAGCGCCCCGCCCUCCCCCCUGCUUCUCUAUUUAUUGCACUACAUUUCCUACUAACGACUACCUUAAUUUAGCGAUCGUUCGACGUCCAAAUUUAUCGAGAAUUUACCAAGGGGUGUUUUGUUUCUCAUUAUCGGGACACAUAUACCCUUGAUUUUUUGGAUUUAUUAUAUGGUUUUGUGUUAAACCGAAUCAAAUCUAAUCGGUCGAAUCUGGUUUGCACUCUGUUCUUUUUUCUUUCACAUGUCUCCUCCUCCUUCCCUCGAUUCGCCCUUUUUGUUGUCACCCUUUCACCCUUAUUCUUUCUUCUUCAAGGAGGAGGAGGAGAGGAAGCGACACAAGGUUGACCGGUUCAUUGAACCGGUUCGCUCAUCGAAACUGUUUUUGUGAAUCAUUUCAAAAAGUUUGAAACGAAAUUAAUUGGAAUAGGAGGAUAAAGUUAGAAUUUACCAAAAAAAAAAACAUUCCUAAAUAAUUUCUGAAUAGAGGGGCGUGAUAGAAACCAAUUACUAAUAAUCUUUUAGGUGAAUUAUUAUUAUUAUUAUUAUUAUUAUUAUUAUUAUUAUUAUUAUUAUUAUUAUUAUUAUAUAUAAAUAUAAUAUGGUGUAACGGAAUUAUUGACUUAGUAACUUCACUGAACUUGGAUCGUUGAUCUGAAUAAUUAAGUUUAAAUUAAUAAUAAUACACUCAUCAAAUCUCUAUAAAUUAAUCUUAGAAUUUGUCUACUUUUAAUUUUCGAUGUGAAGUAAAAUUAUAAUUGUUCUCAGAAAAAUAUAGUUAUGAUGAAACUUAAACAUCAAGCAUUUUGAUACCAGUAGUGUACAUGCUCCUAAAAUUUUGAUUUUACAUUUCAGUUAUUCCUUUGGAGAAGGACUCAGACAGGACUCGUCGAAGAGAUGAAGAGGAGGCAAGUGGAAGCUCCAACGAUGCCGGUGUAUGUGAUUCAAAUCAUCAACAUCUUUUCCAUCACAAUAUCAAUAGUCCACUAUUGUCUCUCUGAUUUGUUUCUCUUUUUGGCGUCUACAUAUAUAUAAUCUCAAGCAAGCUGAGGGCACAGAACAAGAUGACCACGAAUAUUUCGGGAGGCAGAGAACAAUUCGUUCGAGAUUUCCAUCUUGCUGCUGUACUCUCGUUGACAUAUUAGUCAUCCCAGGCACUCCUACUAGCUUCUCUGUCUACAAUUUUUGUAGUCAUCCAUGUUCUGUUUCAUUACGCUGAUGUUUUCCUUUUUGUCCUUGCAGUCAAAUGGGUUCGUCUGUUUCUCUUCAUCAUUUUAAAGACCUGUGAGUAAUUGUUCCCAAACAGUACAUUGAUGAUAUUUAGAACCAUGUCCUACUGUUUCAUUACGAGUUUUAGCAAAUUAGGAAAGUACUAUAGAAAAGGCUUCUUGUAAUUUAGUUCUCCAAAACCAAGUAGUUUACAUGAUGGAUAAUUAUAGCUUAUUUGCGGAAAAACAUAGAUGGGAUGAUCAUGUCGCUGACUUCUUCUGAUGUUAAUUUGGAGAUGCAAUGCGUUUAAGAUUAAUUUAGUUCUUCUGAUGAUCAUGUCGGAAAAACAUAAAUGCAGUGUACCCUCGAACCCGACAUCUGGAGAAGAUUAAGAGAACCCAUAGAAAAGCCUUGGAACUCAUCGAAUUUUUAGCCCGCGAACCGAGAAACAUGGAGUUCUACGUGCUGGGAAGCAAACAAGGUGACGGCGGAGCUCCUGCGGCAGGCUUUCGAGAAAGUGGUGGGCGACAAGAUCAACUUAAUGCACCAGCUGCGUCUACCAGAAGAUGGAAUGAGCCACCCUUGAUCUUGGGUGCACAAAUGGGCAUUCCCGAGUUCGUCAGUACGAUCUUACGAGUGUGUCCGCAGGCAGCUACGUACCUGGACACCGGUGGCCGAAGCGUUCUCCAAGUAGCAAUAAAGCAUGGUAACCGAGAGAUUGUGAGAACUAUACGUGAGAUGACUCGGGGGAAUAAUCCCAUACUACCAUCCUGGCUACUGUCCCGUGUCGACAAAGGGACCGGAAGAACCAUCCUACACCUUGCGUCGGCAAAUGCCCCCAAGCAUACCCAAGAUGCUCUACAAAUGCAAGAUGAAUUAAGAUGGUUUGAGGUCAAGUCCCUAACUACAUUAACUACAAAUAAAAUCUUUACAUUCUCGGAGCUGCCUACUAAAUUUGAUCGUUUUCUGACAUUUGUAUGCAGAGGGUGAGAGAUAUGGUUCCUAAGGAAUUAGUGUACAGUCGAAACGCGCAAGAGAUGACCGCAGAAGAGAUGUUUACUCUGAGUCACCAAGCUUUGCUCAAGAAUUGCAAGGAUCAACUAAUGGAAACGGGCAGGCUGUGUUCAGGGCUGGUCGCAGCUGUAGUGUUCGCGUCGAGCUUCUCAGUCCCCGGCGAUAAGGACCCAGCCACCGGCAACCCGGUUUACUUCGGUAGGGCAGCUUUUACGGUCUUCUCACACACGUACGUGUUUGGGCUUUCAUGCGCCGCGACAUCUCUGGUGUUGUUCUUAUCCCUCGCCAUGUCACCUUACAAGGAACAGCAGUUCCGUCGUAUCAUCCCAAUCAAAUACUUCUUUGCCCGCUCGUCGUUUGGGUUGGCGAUGCUGUCUUUUCUGGUGGCGUUCACCUGCAACAUCUACCUGCAGUUAUAUGGCUGGCAGAAGACGAAGUCGAAGGACUUGAUUCCAUUCAUAUUGGAGCUCACCGCCUUCCCUUUCAUCUGUUUCCUGGUGUUAUUCUUUUAUGGCUCCAAGUUCUUUUAUGGCUCCAAGUUCGGUCUAUCUUUUCUUUUUCGUUCUUGGCGUUGAGUCAACAAGCAUGAUCGUCCACAUCCUUCGAAUCUGCAGCUUCAUGAUGUACGUGGGUUAUACCUAUUACGGUAUGCCGCCUGUUCCAGUGGUGUGUGGUGGUGGUAGUCAUUGGACAGUUAAUAACUUAUGUGUACAAGCAGCGACAAAGGCAUGUGAUGUAUGGACGCUAUUUGAUUGCAACUUUAAUGUGGUUUUUUAUCUUCUAUCUUCGAUUAGAUGAUGUCUGCGCAACGGUAGACAACAGAGCUGGUCACCAAUAAUGGUGAUGGCCCUCUCUAUUGUUUUUGACGAAGUCAAUAUGACACAACUGUUGACCGGAUCUCACCCUGUAUUGUAAUGUAUACUGUCACAUGUCGAGCGACAGAUUUCCCCUAUCGCAUGCAAAUUGCAGUGAGAUGUAUGGACGUCCUUUUGGUUUCCCAGAGGUCGGCUAGAAGAUAGGCUCGAGUUUUAUUGAAUCUUCUGUGACAAAUCACAUAGUCUAUAUCGUAAAGUUUUGGCCCGCCAAAGUUUGCACAGGCAAACGAAAUGUUUGGCUUAUAGAAGCCGAUUAUUCAAGAAGCGAAGGACAUCAAUUUUGGAUUAAAAAAAUAUCAACAAAAAAAAAUCACCUUUGUAGAAAGGAAAGAAAACCCUCCUUCGCAUCAUCUAUGUAGUCAAAUAGGAAAGAUUUAAGAAAAGAUAGAAAUGGUCCGAGUGAAGAAGACAAACUAACGAGCAACAAUGCUCGUCUAUUCCAAAGACAUGCCACGAGAAUAAUGCAGCAAGAAAAAAUGAAAAGAAAAGAAAAGAAAGAAGUUUAUUUAUGAGGUGCGAAAUGUUAUGGACAUCCGAUUCACACUGUUGCAGCUGAUGGUUACCAUCCUCUUCCGAAGCCAACUUGUGCUCGGCUCCUUUGAUUCCUUUCUAUAAAGGUUAUGGACAUCCGAUUCACUCGCGCCAUUGCUGCUCGUCCUUUCCCAAUUACUUUUUAUAUAAAAUUAUUAUAUUUUAUAUAAUAAUAUAGUAAUUUUUAUAAAAAAAGUAUUCUAAAUUAUUCUAAAUAUAUUAUUAUACUAUCAUUCAAAGAAUGUGUUGAAUAUUAAUUUUUUUUAUAAAUUUAUCCAAAAUUCAUCAUAAAACUAAUCAUAAAAUUCUACAUCUCUUAUUUUCUAUUUCCUAUAUUGACUUAGUUAUACUCAAAAUUAAAAUAAAUUAAAUUCGAUUACCUAACUUAUUUUAAUAUUAAUAUAUAUAUAUAUAUAUAUAUAUAUAUAUUACUUUUAGAUAUAUUUAGGAUAAUUAAUUAUCAGAACUUUGAGAAUUCUACUGUAAUUUGAUUCUAACCAAAAAAAUACUAGUUUUUUUAUUUUAUAAUAAGUUUAUAUAAAAUUAAUAUAUCUUACUAAAUUCGAGUGUAACUUAGAUUUGGCUCUACCCAACCCGACUCGAUCCGAAAGGAUGCGCCCCAAAUCAAUUUAAUUCAGAUCCAAUCAACCAGCUAAUUAGUUAGGUUUGAAAUAGUCUCGUAUUAUGAAAAUUUUUAAAUAAAAAUAUCCUGAGCUUUUAUAUAUAUAUAUAUAUAUAUAUAUAUAUAUAUAUAUAAAGAAUCCUAUUAAACAUGAGGUAUUACAAAAAAAAUCGCUCUCCAACAACCUCCUGUCAUGUCAACUCUAGUAAAAUCCCUUUUAGCUUGAGAAAAGAAGUUCUUCGUCAAUACUAUAAUUGAGACUGCAACCGAUUCUUUGUUUUUUACUCAUUUUCUUUUGGUUCGUUUUCAUGUCAGUGUCAAGCUACAUGAUAGUUAAACAAGUGUUUGGUACCUUGUCUCCGUUCCACCAUGCUCUGACGUUAUCAGAUUCCCUUUCUGUGAUCUAUGUAUCUUUUUGUCAUAAGACGUGAGACUGUCAGUGAUAUGUUGGAAGAAACUAUUAAUUAUAUUUCUAUUUAUUAUUGGUUGACCGAUGGAGAUGAUUACUUUACUUGGGAUGUCAUGUUGAGGUAAUUAAAUCAUGCCAACGCAGAUUCGAAUAAUAAAAUUCUUUUAGCUUGUCAUUAAGCAAAAGACACCCACUCGAAGAUAACGUGAUUUGGAGCUACAAAUGAUAACAUCGAGAGCAAAAGAUUCAAUAAAGAGAUGUUGCCAUAAUCCCGGGUGCAUAAAAAGAAUCGGAGACCAACCAAAGGGUCGUCAACUCCAAAGACUUGCGAUGAACAUGAUCUACAAAACCUUUUCUAUAAGGUGCAAGUGGAGGUUUGGGUGCAAGCUUCCGGAUUAUUGUUUCCUGUAGAGCAAGAAUCGUUGACCCUCGCAUGGCCAUCCACGUUUAUGGCAUGUAGGUGCUGUCUAGCUUUAACGUAUGUGAAUUAUUCAUUAGUAGGUUGGCCUCACUAACGUACGAUUAAUUUGUUGUCGAAUCUUUUGUGAGUGAGAUGGAGAGUGCUUAAUUUGUUGUGAAAGAAAAAACAAUAAUGAGAAAACUAGCACAGAAGAAAACGCAAGUUGAAAGCUCAUCUGGAGAGUUCUUCAUGGCAGUGCCACUUUAAGAGGGGAUAUGAGUUGGAAGGGGUCCAAAGGGGAUCUGUACUAAACUUGGAACUGUUUAGCUGGUUUGAGCAAAGAAUCCGACGCCAUUUUCCGACUCUAAGCGACGCCAAUCGACUGAGAAGGAGGGAGGCGUACGACGAUGGAUGAGAGCCAAAAGGAUCAGCUAAUCUUGUUGUUAAGGCAGUCCUUUCAGGUUGCUUUAAUUUUGGUGUAGGCAUCUGGCGGCGAAGGCGUACUUACCAUAUAGCAACUGCAUGCUAUGGGGGAUCCCGCCGCUCUUGCCAAUACGGAUUCCAUUCACGACGGCACAGAGGAUGCUGAUCCACUGCAUGUGCUCAACAGGAGACAUUUUCUCGCGGUGAAGUCUCAUUUCCGUCAGAGGAAGCACGAGGCACUCUUGGCUCUAGCCGUGGAAGAUCCUGGUCGCCCGGUGAACCUCAUGAACGACACUUUGCUCCACGUCGUCAUAGCUUGCAACAAGACCGACCUCGCCAAAAGUAUUAUCUUGCAGAUGCCAGUGGAGACCCUCGCGGCCAAGAAUUUGUACGGCGACACGGCUCUUCAUGUCGCUGCCGCCGUGGGUAACAGCGAGGUGGCCAGGGAGCUGUUCGGCAAGAGAGAAGAUCUCAUCGGAGAACAGAACUUGAAGCAGGAGACACCACUGCACAAAGCGGCGUUCUACGGGCAUCAUGACAUGUUCUGGUGCCUGGUGGACGAGGGGAAUGGCUCCCCGUACGAGCGGAGGGAGGACGGCGCCACCAUGCUGCAUUGUGCCAUCAUGGGCAACGAGCCGGGUAAGCGAUCAUCACCAGUUUCGUUGGCCAGCUGCCUUUAUCUUGUUUUUAUCCUAUCCUAUUUAUUUGAAUUGUUAUAUGUGGAUCAUACUGCUUCCGCAUCUUUGGCGUGAUCAAGGUGAGUGAGUAUCGAUGCAGGGCUGGCACUGGAGAUUGCAGAGCAUUUUCCAUUGCUGAUCACGUCGCGGAAUACUAUGGCGGUGACCCCGUUGCAGCUGAUGGUGACCGUUCCGGGGUUAUUCCGAAGCCAAAUGGAACUUGGCGGCUUCGAGUCCAUCCUCCAUGACUGUAAGUGCUGCCCGCCUCUUCCUUCAUCGCCCCCGGCGCCCCGCCCUCCCCCCUGCUUCUCUAUUUCUUUCACUACAUUUCCUACCAACGACUACCUUAAUUUAGCGAUCGUUCGACGUCCAAAUUUAUCGAGAAUUUACCUAAGGGUGUUUUUUUCUCAUUAUCGGAACACAUAUACCCUUGAUUUUUUGGAUUUAUUGUAUGGUUUUGUGUUAAACCGAAUCAAAUCUAACCGGUCGAGUCUGAUUUGAUCUCUGUUCUUUAUUCUUUCACAUGUCUUUCUCCUCCUUCCCUCAAUUCCCCCUUUUGUUGUCACCCUUUCACCCUUAAUUCUUUCUUCUUCAAGGAGGAGAGGAGGAGUAGGCGGAGGAGGAGAAGAGGAAGCGACAGAAGGUUGACCGCUUCAUCGAACCGGUUCGCUCAUUCAAACUGUUUUAGUAAAUCAUUUCAAAAAGUUUGAAACGAAAUUAAUUGGAAUAGGAGGAUAAAGUUAGAAUUUACCAAAAAAAAUUCCUAAAUAAUUUUUGAAUAGAGGGGAGUGAUAGAAAACAAUUACUAAUAAUCUUUUNNNNNNNNNNNNNNNNNNNNUAUAUAUAUAUAUAUAUAUAUAUAUAUAUAUAUAUAUAUAUAUAAUCUAAUCUAACAGAAUAAUUGACUUAUUAACUUCAGGAUCAUUGAUCUGAAUAAUUAAGUUUAAAUUAAUAAUAAUACACUUAUCAAAUCUCUAUAAAUUAAUCUUAGUAUUUGUCUACUUUUAAUUUUCGAUGUGAAGUAAAAUUAUAAUUGUUCUGAGAAAAAUAUAGUUAUGAUGAAACUUAAACAUCAAGCAUUUUGAUUUUACAUUUCAGUUAUUCCUUUGGAGAAGGACUCACACAGGACUCGUCGAAGAGAUGAAGAGGAGGCAGGUGGAAGCUCCAACGAUGCCGGUGUAAGUGAUUCAAAUCAUCAACAUCUUUUCCAUCACAAUAUCAAUAGUCCACUAUUGUCUCUUAUUUGUUUCUCACUUUGGCGUUUACAUAUAUAUAAUCUCAAGCAAGCUGAAGCCGCAGAGCAAGAUGACCACGAAUAUUUCGGGAGGCAUAGAACAAUUCGUUCAAGAUUUCCAUCUUGCUGCUGUACUCUCGUUGACAUAUUAGUCUUCCCAGGCACUCCUACUAGCUUCUCUGUCUACAAUUUUUGUAGUCAUCCAACUUCUGUUUCAUUACACUGAUGUAUUCCUUUUUGUGCUUGCAGUCAAAUGGGUUCGUCUGUUUCUUUUCUUCAUUAUAAGGACUUGUGAGUAACUGUUCCCAAACAGUACAUUGAUGAUGUUAAGAGCCAUGUCCUACUGUUUCAUUACGAGUUCUAGCAAAUUAGGAAAGUACUAUAGAAAAGGCUUCUUGUAAUUUAGUUCUCCAAAACAAAGUAGUUUACAUGAUGGAUAAUUAUAGCUUAUUUGCGGAAACACAUAAAUGGGAUGAUCAUGUCGCUGACUUCUUCUGAUGUUAAUUUGGAGAUGCAAUGCGUUUAAGAUUAAUUUAGUUCUUCUGAUGAUCAUGUCGGAAAAACAUAAAUGCAGUGUACCCUCGAACCCGACAUCUGGAGAAGAUUAAGAGAACCCAUAGAAAAGCCUUGGAACUCAUCGAAUUUUUAGCCCGCGACCCGAGAAACAUGGAGUUCUACGUGCUGGGAAGAAUGCAAGGUGACGGCGGAGCUCCUGCGGCAGGCUUUCGAGAAAGAGGUGGACGACAAGAUCAACUUAAUGCACCAGCUGCGUCUACGAGAAGAUGGAACGAGCCACCCUUGAUCUUGGGUGCACAAAUGGGCAUUCCCGAGUUCGUCAGUACCAUCUUACGAGUGUGUCCGGAGGCAGCUACCUACCUGGACACCCGUGGCCGAAGCGUUCUCCAAGUAGCAAUAGAGCAUGGUAACCGAGAGAUUGUGAGAACUAUACGUGAGAUGACUCAGGGGAAGAAUCCCAUACUACCAUCCUGGCUACUGUCCCGCGUCGACAAAGGGACCGGAAGAACCAUCCUGCACUUUGCUUCGGCAAAUGCCCCUGAGCAUAACCAAGAUGCUCUACAAAUGCAAGAUGAAUUAAGAUGGUUUGAGGUCAAGUCCCUAACUACAUUAACUAGAAAUAAAAUAUUUAUAUUCUCGGAGUUGCCUACUGAAUUUGAUCGUUUUCUGACAUUUGAAUGCAGACGGUGAGAGAUAUGGUUCCUAAGGAAUUAGUGUACAGUCGAAACGCGCAAGAGAUGACCGCAGAAGAGAUGUUUACCAAGAGUCACCAAGCUUUGCUCAAGAGUUGCAAGGUUCAACUAAUGGAAACGGGAAGGUUGUGUUCGGGGCUGAUCGCAGCUGUAGUGUUCGCGUCGAGCUUCUCCAUCCCCGGCGAUAAGGACCCAGCGACCGGCAACCCGGUUUACUUCGGUAGGGCAGCUUUUAAGGUCUUCUCACAUGCGUACGUGAUUGGGUUGUCAUGCGCCGCCACAUCUCUGGUGUUGUUCUUAUCCCUCGCCAUGUCACCGAACAAGGAGCAGCAGUUCCGUCGUAUAAUCCCCACCAAAUACUUCUUUGCCCGCUCGUCGUUUGGGUUUGCGAUGCUGUCUUUUCUGGUGGCGUUCACCUGCAACAUCUACCUACAGUUAUAUGGCUGGCAGAAGACGAAGUCGAAGGACUUGAUUCCAUUCGUAUUGGAGCUCACCGUCUUCCCUGUUAACUGUUUCCUGGUGUUGUUCUUUCGUGGCUUCACCUUCGAUAUACCUUUCCUUUUUCGUUCUUGGCGUUGAGUCAACAAGUAU